CAUGUACUCCCUCCGUCCGAAAAUACUUGUCGGAGAAAUGAAUGUAUCUAGACAUAAUUUAGUUCUAGAUACAUUCAUUUUCAUCCAUUUCCGCGACAAGUAAUUCCGGACGGAGGGAAUAUACA
rnacentral:pre_miRNA from 1 species